rnacentral:rRNA from 1 species
GACGAACGCUGGCGGCGUGCUUAACACAUGCCAGUCGAACGGAAAGGCCCUGCUUUUGUGGGGUGCUCGAGUGGCGAACGGGUGAGUAACACGUGAGUAACCUGCCCUUGACUUUGGGAUAACUUCAGUAAACUGGGGCUAAUACCGGAUAGGAGCUCCUGCUGCAUGGUGGGGGUUGGAAAGUUUCGGCGGUUGGGGAUGGACUCGCGGCUUAUCAGCUUGUUGGUGGGGUAGUGGCUUACCAAGGCUUUGACGGGUAGCCGGCCUGAGAGGGUGACCGGCCACAUUGGGACUGAGAUACGGCCCAGACUACUACGGGAGGCAGCAGUGGGGAAUAAUGCACAAUGGGCGGAAGCCUGAUGCAGCAACGCCGCGUGCGGGAUGACGGACUUCGGGUUGUAAACCGCUUUCGCCUGUGAAGAAGCGGGAGUGACGGUAAUGGGUAAAGAAGCACCGGCUAACUACGUG